rnacentral:other from 1 species
GCGGGACUGCCCGGCACGAGCCGACCGAAUAUCCCUGAGGCUAUAAGCAUUCCUAGGGAGCUGUCCCUGCUCUGGUUAAUGGGCCACUGCGUUCUUCGGAAUGGAACCUAGGGACCGGAGUAAACGGCGCCCACCUGACGUUUAGGCGUCAGAGGAUUUCCCCGGCACCGACCCAUGGUGGUUCCGCC